rnacentral:rRNA from 1 species
AUGCAGUCGAGCGGACGUUUUUGAAGCUUGCUUCAAAAACGUUAGCGGCGGACGGGUGAGUAACACGUGGGCAACCUACCUUAUCGACUGGGAUAACUCCGGGAAACCGGGGCUAAUACCGGAUAACAUCUAGCACCUCCUGGUGCCGGAUUAAAAGAGGGCUUCUUGCUCUCACGAUGAGAUGGGCCCGCGGCGCAUUAGCUAGUUGGAGAGGUAACGGCUCCCCAAGGCGACGAUGCGUAGCCGACCUGAGAGGGUGAUCGGCCACACUGGGACUGAGACACGGCCCAGACUCCUACGGGAGGCAGCAGUAGGGAAUCUUCCGCAAUGGACGAAAGUCUGACGGAGCAACGCCGCGUGAGUGAUGAAGGGUUUCGGCUCGUAAAGCUCUGUUAUGAGGGAAGAACACGUACCGUUCGAAUAGGGCGGUACCUUGACGGUACCUCAUCAGAAAGCCACGGCUAACUACGUGCCAGCAGCCGCGGUAAUACGUAGGUGGCAAGCGUUGUCCGGAAUUAUUGGGCGUAAAGCGCGCGCAGGCGGCCUUUUAAGUCUGAUGUGAAAUCUUGCGGCUCAACCGCAAGCGGCCAUUGGAAACUGGGAGGCUUGAGUACAGAAGAGGAGAGUGGAAUUCCACGUGUAGCGGUGAAAUGCGUAGAUAUGUGGAGGAACACCAGUGGCGAAGGCGACUCUCUGGUCUGUAACUGACGCUGAGGCGCGAAAGCGUGGGGAGCAAACAGGAUUAGAUACCCUGGUAGUCCACGCCGUAAACGAUGAGUGCUAGGUGUUAGGGGUUUCGAUGCCCGUAGUGCCGAAGUUAACACAUUAAGCACUCCGCCUGGGGAGUACGGCCGCAAGGCUGAAACUCAAAGGAAUUGACGGGGGCCCGCACAAGCAGUGGAGCAUGUGGUUUAAUUCGAAGCAACGCGAAGAACCUUACCAGGUCUUGACAUCCUUUGACCACUCUGGAGACAGAGCUUCCUCCUUCGGGGGCAAA